GUGAGGAAUAUUGGACAAUGGGCGCAAGCCUGAUCCAGCCAUGCCGCGUGCAGGAAGACGCAUCUAUGGUGUGUAAACUGCUUUUGUACGGGAAGAAACACUCCCUCGUGAGGGAGCUUGACGGUACCGUAAGAAUAAGGAUCGGCUAACUCCGUGCCAGCAGCCGCGGUAAUACGGAGGAUCCAAGUGUUAUCCGGAAUCAUUGGGUUUAAAGGGUCCGUAGGCGGUUUAAUAAGUCAGUGGUGAAAACCCAUCGCUAAAAGAUGUAACGGCCAUUGAUACUAUUAGACUUGAAUUACAAAGAAGUAACUAGAAUAUGUAGUGUAGCGGUGAAAUGCUUAGAUAUUACAUGGAAUACCAAUUGCGAAGGCAGGUUACUACUUGUGGAUUGACGCUGAUGUACGAAAGCGUGGGGAGCGAACAGGAUUAGAAACCCGAGUAGUCC
rnacentral:rRNA from 1 species